rnacentral:rRNA from 1 species
UACGACUACAUAUCAGGCAUAUCAAUAAGCGGAGGAAAAGAAACUAACAAGGAUUCCCUUAGUAACGGCGAGUGAAGCGGGAAGAGCUCAAAUUUGAAAUCUUCAAGGUUCUACCUUGACGAAUUGUAGUUUAAAGAAGUGUUUUCUGUUAGAUGAGUAGCAAAAGUUCCUUGGAAUGGGACAUCAUAGAGGGUGAGAAUCCCGUAUUUGGUUAUUCAUUCUAGCUUUGUGAUACACUUUCAAAGAGUCGGAUUGUUUGGGAAUGCAGUCCAAAAUGGGUGGUAAAUUUCAUCUAAAGCUAAAUAUUGGCGAGAGACCGAUAGCGAACAAGUACCGUGAGGGAAAGAUGAAAAGAACUUUGAAAAGAGAGUUAAACAGUACGCUGAAAUUGUCAAAAGGGAAGCGUUUGACACCAGUGUUGUUUUUCCGAAAAUCAAUUACGAAUGGCUUGAUUUUGUGUUGUAUUGACCUUAUCAGCUUUCUGCACUUUUUUCGAGUCUUUCUUAAUGCACUUUUCGGUUAACAAGUCAACAUCAAUUUCUUUUGUUGUAAAAGAGUAUUCGGAAGGUGGCUUUCUUUUCGGAGAAAGUGUUUAUAGCCCUAUACUUCUACAAUCGGAGAGAUUGAGGUCUGCAGCGUAGAUCCUUCGGGGUUAGAUACACUUGUGCUAAGUUGUAGCUUUUCAUAGACAACUUGUUGACUAUGUUUAGUCAUGCGGCUUACUCGCUUGUGCUAUUUUACCUACGCUUAGGAUGUUGAGUAGCGACAUACGCAC